rnacentral:rRNA from 1 species
GGUAAUAAUCCUGUAGUCGAAAAUGUUGUCUCUCUUGAGUGGAUCCUGAGUACGACGGAGCACGUGAAAUUCCGUCGGAAUCUGGGAGGACCAUCUCCUAAGGCUAAAUACUCUCUAGUGACCGAUAGUGAACCAGUACCGUGAGGGAAAGGUGAAAAGCACCCCGGAAGGGGAGUGAAAUAGAACCUGAAACCGUGUGCUUACAAGUAGUCAGAGCCCGUUAAUGGGUGAUGGCGUGCCUUUUGUAGAAUGAACCGGCGAGUUACGAUUUGAUGCAAGGUUAAGCAGUAAAUGUGGAGCCGUAGCGAAAGCGAGUCUGAAUAGGGCGUUUAGUAUUUGGUCGUAGACCCGAAACCAGGUGAUCUACCCUUGGUCAGGUUGAAGUUCAGGUAACACUGAAUGGAGGACCGAACCGACUUACGUUGAAAAGUGAGCGGAUGAACUGAGGGUAGCGGAGAAAUUCCAAUCGAACCUGGAGAUAGCUGGUUCUCUCCGAAAUAGCUUUAGGGCUAGCCUCAAGUGAUGAUUAUUGGAGGUAGAGCACUGUUUGGACGAGGGGCCCCUCUCGGGUUACCGAAUUCAGACAAACUCCGAAUGCCAAUUAAUUUAACUUGGGAGUCAGAACAUGGGUGAUAAGGUCCGUGUUCGAAAGGGAAACAGCCCAGACCACCAGCUAAGGUCCCAAAAUAUAUGUUAAGUGGAAAAGGAUGUGGCGUUGCCCAGACAACUAGGAUGUUGGCUUAGAAGCAGCCAUCAUUUAAAGAGUGCGUAAUAGCUCACUAGUCGAGUGACACUGCGCCGAAAAUGUACCGGGGCUAAACAUAUUACCGAAGCUGUGGAUUGUCCUUUGGACAAUGGUAGGAGAGCGUUCUAAGGGCGUUGAAGCAUGAUCGUAAGGACAUGUGGAGCGCUUAGAAGUGAGAAUGCCGGUGUGAGUAGCGAAAGACGGGUGAGAAUCCCGUCCACCGAUUGACUAAGGUUUCCAGAGGAAGGCUCGUCCGCUCUGGGUUAGUCGGGUCCUAAGCUGAGGCCGACAGGCGUAGGCGAUGGAUAACAGGUUGAUAUUCCUGUACCACCUAUAAUCGUUUUAAUCGAUGGGGGGACGCAGUAGGAUAGGCGAAGCGUGCGAUUGGAUUGCACGUCUAAGCAGUAAGGCUGAGUAUUAGGCAAAUCCGGUACUCGUUAAGGCUGAGCUGUGAUGGGGAGAAGACAUUGUGUCUUCGAGUCGUUGAUUUCACACUGCCGAGAAAAGCCUCUAGAUAGAAAAUAGGUGCCCGUACCGCAAACCGACACAGGUAGUCAAGAUGAGAAUUCUAAGGUGAGCGAGCGAACUCUCGUUAAGGAACUCGGCAAAAUGACCCCGUAACUUCGGGAGAAGGGGUGCUCUUUAGGGUUAACGCCCAGAAGAGCCGCAGUGAAUAGGCCCAAGCGACUGUUUAUCAAAAACACAGGUCUCUGCUAAACCGUAAGGUGAUGUAUAGGGGCUGACGCCUGCCCGGUGCUGGAAGGUUAAGAGGAGUGGUUAGCUUCUGCGAAGCUACGAAUCGAAGCCCCAGUAAACGGCGGCCGUAACUAUAACGGUCCUAAGGUAGCGAAAUUCCUUGUCGGGUAAGUUCCGACCCGCACGAAAGGCGUAACGAUUUGGGCACUGUCUCAACGAGAGACUCGGUGAAAUCAUAGUACCUGUGAAGAUGCAGGUUACCCGCGACAGGACGGAAAGACCCCGUGGAGCUUUACUGUAGCCUGAUAUUGAAAUUCGGCACAGCUUGUACAGGAUAGGUAGGAGCCUUUGAAACGUGAGCGCUAGCUUACGUGGAGGCGCUGGUGGGAUACUACCCUAGCUGUGUUGGCUUUCUAACCCGCACCACUUAUCGUGGUGGGAGACAGUGUCAGGCGGGCAGUUUGACUGGGGCGGUCGCCUCCUAAAAGGUAACGGAGGCGCUCAAAGGUUCCCUCAGAAUGGUUGGAAAUCAUUCAUAGAGUGUAAAGGCAUAAGGGAGCUUGACUGCGAGACCUACAAGUCGAGCAGGGUCGAAAGACGGACUUAGUGAUCCGGUGGUUCCGCAUGGAAGGGCCAUCGCUCAACGGAUAAAAGCUACCCCGGGGAUAACAGGCUUAUCUCCCCCAAGAGUUCACAUCGACGGGGAGGUUUGGCACCUCGAUGUCGGCUCAUCGCAUCCUGGGGCUGUAGUCGGUCCCAAGGGUUGGGCUGUUCGCCCAUUAAAGCGGUACGCGAGCUGGGUUCAGAACGUCGUGAGACAGUUCGGUCCCUAUCCGUCGUGGGCGUAGGAAAUUUGAGAGGAGCUGUCCUUAGUACGAGAGGACCGGGAUGGACAUACCUCUGGUGUACCAGUUGUCGUGCCAACGGCAUAGCUGGGUAGCUAUGUGUGGACGGGAUAAGUGCUGAAAGCAUCUAAGCAUGAAGCCCCCCUCAAGAUGAGAUUUCCCAACUUCGGUUAUAAGAUCCCUCAAAGAUGAUGAGGUUAAUAGGUUCGAGGUGGAAGCAUGGUGACAUGUGGAGCUGACGAAUACUAAUCGAUCGAAGACUUAAUCAA